rnacentral:lncRNA from 1 species
ACUUACCUGACCAAUUUGAUGAAUUAUAUUUUGAUUAGAUCGCUAAGUGAUUUGAGUUAAUCCAUGCCAUUAAGGUUGAUCAGUAUGACUGAUCUAGGUGCCAUUUUCAAUCGGUAUAUCACUAAUCCAAUUCAAUGAUUUGAUGAAGUCAGUGAGAGGAUUGUGAUUUAUUGAUUGAUCUUUUCUCUUCUCUUAAUUUAUAAAUUAAAUCUUCUAAAUUAUUAGAUUCCUAAAAUGAGAUAGUUAUGAUGAUAACUAAAUCAUAGUCUC